CUCGUUAAGGAACUCGGCAAAAUGACCCCGUAACUUCGGGAGAAGGGGUGCUCUAUUAGGGUGCAAGCCCGAGAGAGCCGCAGUGAAUAGGCCCAGGCGACUGUUUAGCAAAAACACAGGUCUCUGCAAAACCGUAAGGUGACGUAUAGGGGCUGACGCCUGCCCGGUGCUGGAAGGUUAAGAGGAGUGCUUAGCUUCGGCGAAGGUACGAAUUGAAGCCCCAGUAAACGGCGGCCGUAACUAUAACGGUCCUAAGGUAGCGAAAUUCCUUGUCGGGUAAGUUCCGACCCGCACGAAAGGCGCAACGAUCUGGGCACUGUCUCAACGAGAGACUCGGUGAAAUUAUAGUACCUGUGAAGAUGCAGGUUACCCGCGACAGGACGGAAAGACCCCGUGGAGCUUUACUGCAACCUGAUAUGGAAUGUUUGUACCGCUUGUACAGGAUAGGUAGGAGCCGAAGAGACGUGUGCGCUAGCAUACGAGGAGGCAAUGGUGGGAUACUACCCUGGCUGUAUGACCAUUCUAACCCGCCACGCUUAGCGCGUGGGGAGACAGUGUCAGGUGGGCAGUUUGACUGGGGCGGUCGCCUCCUAAAGAGUAACGGAGGCGCCCAAAGGUUCCCUCAGAAUGGAUGGAAAUCAUUCGCAGAGUGUAAAGGCACAAGGGAGCUUGACUGCGAGACUGACAAGUCGAGCAGGGACGAAAGUCGGGCUUAGUGAUCCGGUGGUUCCGCAUGGAAGGGCCAUCGCUCAACGGAUAAAAGCUACCCCGGGGAUAACAGGCUUAUCUCCCCCAAGAGUCCACAUCGACGGGGAGGUUUGGCACCUCGAUGUCGGCUCGUCGCAUCCUGGGGCUGUAGUCGGUCCCAAGGGUUGGGCUGUUCGCCCAUUAAAGCGGCACGCGAGCUGGGUUCAGAACGUCGUG
rnacentral:rRNA from 1 species